rnacentral:rRNA from 1 species
UACGUAGGGGGCUAGCGUUGUCCGGAAUCAUUGGGCGUAAAGCGCGCGUAGGCGGCCAGAUAAGUCCGGUGUGAAAGUCAAAGGCUCAACCUUUGAAUGCCGCUGGAAACUGUCUGGCUUGAGUCCGGAAGGGGCGAGUGGAAUUUCUGGUGUAGCGGUGAAAUGCGCAGAUAUCGGGAGGAACACCGGUGGCGAAGGCGGUUCUCUGGGCCUUACCUGACGCUGAGGAGCGAAAGCGUGGGGAGCGAACAGG